UGGGGAAUAUUGCGCAAUGGGGGGAACCCUGACGCAGCAACGCCGCGUGCAGGAAGAAGGUCUUCGGAUUGUAAACUGUUGUCGCAAGGGAAGAAGACAGUGACGGUACCUUGUGAGAAAGUCACGGCUAACUACGUGCCAGCAGCCGCGGUAAUACGUAGGUGACAAGCGUUGUCCGGAUUUACUGGGUGUAAAGGGCGCGUAGGCGGACUGUCAAGUCAGUCGUGAAAUACCGGGGCUUAACCCCGGGGCUGCGAUUGAAACUGACAGCCUUGAGUAUCGGAGAGGAAAGCGGAAUUCCUAGUGUAGCGGUGAAAUGCGUAGAUAUUAGGAGGAACACCAGUGGCGAAGGCGGCUUUCUGGACGACAACUGACGCUGAGGCGCGAAAAGUGUGGGGAAGCAAACAGGAUUAGAUACCC
rnacentral:rRNA from 1 species